rnacentral:rRNA from 1 species
AGGGCGCCUGAGAGAUGGCUACCACAUCUAAGGAAGGCAGCAGGCGCGCAACUUACCUAUACCUGAUUCAGGGAGGUAGUAAACAGAAAUAAUGACGCAUGAUUCUAAUCGUGCGAUCGGAAUGAAUGGUUUCUAAACAAAACCAUGAAAUCAAUUGGAGGAAAAGUCUGGUGCCAGCACCCGCGGUAAUACCAGCUCCAAUAGCGUAUAUUAUUGAUGUUGCAGUUGAAACGUUCGUAGUCGAACCUUAUCUGCUUAGGCAUUGUGGCGUCGCUGACGUUCUAAUGCUUUCAGCAGAGAUUGUGUAAAGGCCGUUGCACACGUUGCGUGUGUCAAUGACUUUUGCAUUUUACUUUGAGUGAAUCGGCGUGUUCCACGCAGGCAUGUGCCUUGAACGAUUUACCAUAGCAUAAUCAGAGUAUGAGAAUACUCUCUUGUUUGUUCGAGAGUGUUUUCGAUACUGAAAAGAACGGUUGAGGGCAUUCGUAUUCAGCUGCCAGAGGUGAAAUUCUUUGAUUAGUUGAGGACGAACUAUUGCGAAAGCAUCUGCCAAGGACGUUUCUUUUGAUCAAGAACGAAAGUUAGGUGAUCGAAGAUGAUUAGAUACCGU